GUGGGGAAUUUUGGACAAUGGGCGCAAGCCUGAUCCAGCCAUGCCGCGUGCAGGAUGAAGGCCUUCGGGUUGUAAACUGCUUUUGUACGGAACGAAAAGACUUCUUCUAAUACAGGAGGUCCAUGACGGUACCGUAAGAAUAAGCACCGGCUAACUACGUGCCAGCAGCCGCGGUAAUACGUAGGGUGCAAGCGUUAAUCGGAAUUACUGGGCGUAAAGCGUGCGCAGGCGGUUAUAUAAGACAGAUGUGAAAUCCCCGGGCUCAACCUGGGAACUGCAUUUGUGACUGUAUAGCUAGAGUACGGUAGAGGGGGAUGGAAUUCCGCGUGUAGCAGUGAAAUGCGUAGAUAUGCGGAGGAACACCGAUGGCGAAGGCAAUCCCCUGGACCCGUACUGACGCUCAUGCACGAAAGCGUGGGGAGCAAACAGGAUUAGAUACCCUGGUAGUCC
rnacentral:rRNA from 1 species